rnacentral:rRNA from 1 species
GACGUAGGGGGCCAGCGUUGUUCGGAAUUACUGGGUGUAAAGGGUGCGUAGGCGGCGCGGUAAGUCGGAUGUGAAAUCUCGGAGCUUAACUCCGAAACUGCAUUCGAUACUGCCGUGCUUGAGGACUGGAGAGGAGACUGGAAUUUACGGUGUAGCGGUGAAAUGCGUAGAUAUCGUAAGGAAGACCAGUGGCGAAGGCGGGUCUCUGGACAGUUCCUGACGCUGAGGCACGAAGGCCAGGGGAGCAAACGGG